rnacentral:rRNA from 1 species
GACGAACGCUGGCGGCGUGCUUAACACAUGCAAGUCGAACGGAAAGGCCCUGCUUUUGUGGGGUGCUCGAGUGGCGAACGGGUGAGUAACACGUGAGUAACCUGCCCUUGACUUUGGGAUAACUUCAGGAAACUGGGGCUAAUACCGGAUAGGUGCUCCUGCUGCAUGGUGGGGGUUGGAAAGUUUCGGCGGUUGGGGGUGGACGCGCGGCUUAUCAGCUUGUUGGUGGGGUAGUGGCUUACGAAGGCUUUGACGGGUAGCCGGCCUGAGAGGGUGACCGGCCAGAUUGGGACUGAGAGACGGCGCAGACUACUACGGGAGGCAGCAGUGGGGAAUAGUGCACAAUGGCGGGGAGCCGGGUGCGGCAACGCCGCGUGCGUGAUAACGGCCUUCGGGUUGUAAACCGCUUUCGCCUGUGAUGUGGCGGGGGUGACGGUAAUGGGUAAAGAAGCACCGGCUAACUACGUG